AUUGAACGCUAGCGGCAGGCUUAAUACAUGCAAGUCGAGGGGCAGCAUGACUGUAGCAAUACAGUUGAUGGCGACCGGCAAACGGGUGCGGAACACGUACAGAACCUUCCUUCGAGCGGGGAAUAGCCCAGAGAAAUUUGGAUUAAUACCCCAUAGUAUAUUAGAGUGGCAUCACUUUGAUAUUAAAGAUUUAUCACUUGAAGAUGGCUGUGCGGCUGAUUAGGUAGUUGGCGGGGUAACGGCCCACCAAGCCUUCGAUCAGUAACUGGUGUGAGAGCACGACCAGUCACACGGGCACUGAGACACGGGCCCGACUCCUACGGGAGGCAGCAGUAAGGAAUAUUGGUCAAUGGACGAAAGUCUGAACCAGCCAUGCCGCGUGGAGGAUGAAGGUCCUCUGGAUUGUAAACUUCUUUUGUACGGGAAAAAACCUUCUUACGUGUAAGAAGCUGAUUGUACUGUAAGAAUAAGGAUCGGCUAACUCCGUGCCAG
rnacentral:rRNA from 1 species